GUGUCUGUGGGACUGCGAGCUUCUCUGUAUGUCCUAUAUACCCACCGAACUGUCGUUAUUCACAUAUGACAGGGUAAAAUCGGUUUUGCAUUCUAUCACCCCUUUAAGGAAGAACAUUU